rnacentral:rRNA from 1 species
CCCUUAGAUGUUCUGGGCCGCACGCGCGCUACACUGAUGCAUUCAACAAGCCUAGCCUUGACCGAGAGGUCCGGGUAAUCUUUGAAACUGCAUCGUGAUGGGGCUAGAUUAUUGCAAUUAUUAAUCUUCAACGAGGAAUUCCUAGUAAGCGCGAGUCAUCAGCUCGCGUUGAUUACGUCCCUGCCCUUUGUACACACCGCCCGUCGCUACUACCGAUUGAAUGGUUUAGUGAGGACUCCUGAUUGGCGCCGCCGCCCCGGCAACGGAGCAGCGGACUGCCGAAAAGUUGUUCAAACUUGAUCAUUUAGAGGAAGUAAAAGUCGUAACA